UACAGAGGCCUCGAGCGUUAGGCGGAAUCACUGGGCUUAAAGCGUGUGUAGGCGGAUUGCUAAGUCCCUUGUGAAAUCCCACGGCUUAACCGUGGAACUGCUUGGUAUACUGGCUGUCUUGAGCCACUUAGGGGCGACCGGAACAAACGGUGGAGCGGUGAAAUGCGUAGAUAUCGUUUGGAACGCCAAAGGUGAAAACAGGUCGCUGGGAGUGUGCUGACGCUGAGACACGAAAGCCAGGGGAGCAAACGGG
rnacentral:rRNA from 1 species